CGCGAUCUUAGUUUACAUUAGUGUGAGUGCAUCAUUCCGUGCCAGGAGAACCAAAACAUAAACAAAGUCACCUUCAUCGGAGUGACAGAGUCAGACACUCAAAAAACCUUUCACCACAGAGUUGCAUGAAAAUUCCAGUGGCAGUCCAUUUUUGGUUCAGAACAACGUUUUACAGGAGUCAUGCAACUGUCACAGUGAAUUCACGUCAUCCCAACUUGAUUCUCACAUAGCCUGCACUCACACAAUUAAACGCUACGUGAAAUUCAUGCCUGAAAAAUUGGAGGCGUGGCUUACAGUCAGCUGUGUUUAGGUCUGCAUGAAAAUCUUGUCAUAUCCGCAGGGUAACUGGUAUGGAAAAAAUCCACUUACCUUUUCAUGCGACAUUGUGGUGAAAUGUUUUGUGUGUCUGCAACAAUGUUUGAAGAGGUUGCAUGAAAUUCCUGUCUGCAAAUUUCAAACCAGGCGAGCAGUCUGAGGACGAUCAGUUGGCUGCUGAUUCUCUUGAAGUGAACAUCGUUUAAUUUUUUGUCGGUUCAGCUGGUUAUUUUCUGACAUUCCUCGUCGCGCUGUUUCAGCCAGAUUUACAGUUCGAUGACCCUCAGGCCAAUUGAAAUAUAAAUCCGGAGGUGCGCAAGGACCAGCAAAACCAGGCCAUCAAACGUCGCAAAAUGAAGACAAGUAAAGCUGAGAAAGGCGCUGGCAGGAACCAACAGAAAAUUAAGGCUGCUAAAGUGCUCCAGCAUACCGGCCCGCACACCGUUAGCGAAAAUCCGGAUACGUGAAUCAAAUUCAACAAAAAUAGGAGAAAUCCACCCAACUUAAACCCUUCACCCGGAAAGCAGCUAAAUUGGUAGUGAAUUGUGAUUAAUAGUGUUUUAUGAACUGUGAUUAAUAUUGUGGUUUAAAGAUCGAAAAAUCAAAUCUUUUGACAAUAAAAAGUUUCAAGAACUAUUAA